CUUUCAUAAAAAAGCUUGCGUUUGAGCACACGUGGCGGCAAUUCUUCUAGACCCCCGCCUCUCCCCUUUCCCCUGUAUUUCUGCAGCCACAGACAAAAUGGCCAGAGUGUAAAGUUCAUCUCACCUUCUGGCCUCCUGUCUGCUGAUUAGCCGGAUCAGCUGGUUUCAGUUCACUCAGUUCACCGCAGCAGCCUCUGUCUUCACAACAAAGGGGCUGUGUGUUGCUGGACAACAACCCUGUUGAUGUGUGCACAUUGGGACGCUCCUCCUGCAGCGGGGAGCAAAUGAUUGGGGCUGUUUGGGCAGAGCAGCUGGGAAUGGUGACCUUGAGACCAAAAAGAUAACUGCAAAAAAGUGGUGUGUGUGCGA
rnacentral:lncRNA from 1 species